rnacentral:rRNA from 1 species
GAUGAACGCUGGCGGCGUGCCUAAUACAUGCAAGUCGAGCGAACGGACGAGAAGCUUGCUUCUCUGAUGUUAGCGGCGGACGGGUGAGUAAUACGUGGAUAACCUACCUAUAAGACUGGGAUAACUUCGGGAAACCGGAGCUAAUACCGGAUAAUAUUUUGAACCGCAUGGUUCAAAAGUGAAAGACGGUCUUGCUGUCACUUAUAGAUGGAUCCGCGCUGCAUUAGCUAGUUGGUAAGGUAACGGCUUACCAAGGCAACGAUGCAUAGCCGACCUGAGAGGGUGAUCGGCCACACUGGAACUGAGACACGGUCCAGACUCCUACGGGAGGCAGCAGUAGGGAAUCUGCCGCAAUGGGCGAAAGCCUGACGGAGCAACGCCGCGUGAGUGAUGAAGGUCUUCGGAUCGUAAAACUCUGUUAUUAGGGAAGAACAUAUGUGUAAGUAACUGUGCACAUCUUGACGGUACCUAAUCAGAAAGCAACGGCUAACUACGUG